rnacentral:rRNA from 1 species
AUUGAACGCUGGCGGCAGGCCUAACACAUGCAAGUCGAGCGGAUGAGAAGAGCUUGCUCUUCGAUUCAGCGGCGGACGGGUGAGUAAUGCCUAGGAAUCUGCCUGGUAGUGGGGGACAACGUUUCGAAAGGAACGCUAAUACCGCAUACAUCCUACGGGAGAAAGCAGGGGACCUUCGGGCCUUGCGCUAUCAGAUGAGCCUAGGUCGGAUUAGCUAGUUGGUGAGGUAAUGGCUCACCAAGGCGACGAUCCGUAACUGGUCUGAGAGGAUGAUCAGUCACACGGGAACUGAGACACGGUCCAGACUCCUACGGGAGGCAGCAGUGGGGAAUAUUGGACAAUGGGCGAAAGCCUGAUCCAGCCAUGCCGCGUGUGUGAAGAAGGUCUUCGGAUUGUAAAGCACUUUAAGUUGGGAGGAAGGGCAGUAAGUUAAUACCUUGCUGUUUUGACGUUACCGACAGAAUAAGCACCGGCUAACUCUGUGCCAGCCGCCGCCGUAACAC